rnacentral:rRNA from 1 species
GAUGAACGCUGGCGGCGUGCCUAAUACAUGCAAGUCGAGCGAACGGACGAGAAGCUUGCUUCUCUGAUGUUAGCGGCGGACGGGUGAGUAACACGUGGAUAACCUACCUAUAAGACUGGGAUAACUUCGGGAAACCGUAUCUAAUACCGGAUAAUAUUUUGAACCGCAUGGUUCAAAAGUGAAAGACGGUCUUGCUGUCACUUAUAGAUGGAUCCGCGCUGCAUUAGCUAGUUGGUAAGGUAACGGCUUACCAAGCCAACGAUGCAUAGCCGACCUGAGAGGGUGAUCGGCCACACUGGAACUGAGACACGGUCCAGACUCCUACGGGAGGCAGCAGUAGGGAAUCUUCCGCAAUGGGCGAAAGCCUGACGGAGCAACGCCGCGUGAGUGAUGAAGGUCUUCGGAUCGUAAAACUCUGUUAUUAGGGAAGAACAUAUGUGUAAGUAACUGUGCACAUCUUGACGGUACCUAAUCAGAAAGCCACGGCUAACUACGUG